GGUGAUGUGUCUGAGCGGCCGAAAGAGCUCGCCUCGAAAGCGAGAGUGGGGUCAAACCCACCGGGGGUUCAAAUCCCUCCAUCACCG
rnacentral:tRNA from 2 species